GUGAAGUUAUAAAAGUGGGACAUAAAGGCUGUUACUUGCAUUUCAUGAAUUGAUGAUUCUUUCUCUUUACCAAAAUGUAUCAAUUCAGAACAGUGAUCGUCCUCUUACUGUGUUCUUUAUGCAGCAGUGAUAUCAUUCAGGAACCCAAAAUGGAUGCCAUGCAAGGAACAGACCCUGUUCUCACCUGCAGUCAUUCUUCACUUACCACCGCUGAGAUGAUUCAAUGGUACAGGCAGUUGCCUGACAGAGGACCACAGUUCCUGAUUAGCAGUUACAAGACCACUGAAAAGGAUAAAAUGAGCAAAUACAGUAUGGUCUUCAGCAACGACAGAAAAUUCAGUGAGCUCCACAUUAAGGACAUCACACUGGAGGAGAGUGCAGUGUAUUUGUGUGUGAAGAGUGACACAGUCAUAUAUACAAGCCCAACACCUGUACAAAAUGUAACUCCAUAUAGUAAGGGUGGAAAUGAGGGCCCUUUACUUUAG